rnacentral:misc_RNA from 1 species
GUGAAUCAUCGAAUCUUUGAACGCAAAUUGCGCCUUUUUCGGAGAGGAUGCCUGUUUGAGGGUCAGCCUAAGAAAAAUCGACAUAUUCGCUGUUUCGCGGUUACAUUCGACGGAGAUUGGGGCAUCUUAAACCUUUGGGUUUUUUAAGCGGCUUAAAAUUUUCUUUACGAUGCCACUAACGUUGCUAAUAUUUACUUCUUAUACGUUUAAGGUAUCUAUCUUUAUUAGACUUGGCCGGUUCAUCGGAUCUCGUCCAUAAAUAUUUCGUUAACU